GUUCCUUCAUAUUUUGCAUGAUCCCUUGGUUCAAUGGUAGUUGCCUGAGCCCAGCCCUCAUAUUCCUAAGUUGCCACUGCUUGUACGUCUCCGGCCUUUCAAGCCUCUCUGAUCCUUCACAUGCUAUCACAUUCAAGAUCCUCUUCCCAUAUAUCUCUUGCUCAAGCACCAUUCUCUCGGGUACGUUGUGGGAUAUAUUGGAUUCAAGCAUAUCAAACAGCGAUGAGAAGUAGAAAAGAGCCUCUCGAAACCUCGUGGUGAAGAAGGGAGCAUUAUAGCCCCCAUUCACUAUACCAUGAAUGAAGACACUUGGAUUCAUCCUCCUUAUCAAGUUAAGAACAGCAUCCCUCUGGCAGUUGAUGUCUACGUCUGCUAAUGUCUCAUCAAGCAGGUUACUGGACCGAUAUAAACCGGUAACAAUGGUAACUUCAUCUCUGUCUAUCUUGAAGUCCUCAAAUCGGAUACUUUCCCAUUUCCUUGAUACUGCAGUGUACUCAAAAGGAACAUUAAGUCUCUCACAAAAACUUGCUAAG
rnacentral:misc_RNA from 1 species